GUUGAAGUCCAUCCCCGGAAAUGCCUCAUAGAGUAACUGGUUUUGCUUUACUCACAAGACUACUGGUUACGUCUAUGUGAAGGAAUUACAGGACAAUU
rnacentral:snoRNA from 1 species